GCCUGGCUAGCUCAGUUGGUAGAGCAUGAGACUUUGAAUCUCAGGGUCAUAGGUUUAAGCCCCACAUUGGGCC